UCUGUGCCAGCAGCCGCGGUAAUACAGAGGGUGCAAGCGUUAAUCGGAAUUACUGGGCGUAAAGCGAGUGUAGGUGGCUCAUUAAGUCACAUGUGAAAUCCCCGGGCUUAACCUGGGAACUGCAUGUGAUACUGGUGGUGCUAGAAUAUGUGAGAGGGAAGUAGAAUUCCAGGUGUAGCGGUGAAAUGCGUAGAGAUCUGGAGGAAUACCGAUGGCGAAGGCAGCUUCCUGGCAUAAUAUUGACACUGAGAUUCGAAAGCGUGGGUAGCAAACAGGAUUAGAUACCCUGGUAGUCCACGCCGUAAACGAUGUCUACUAGCCGUUGGGGUCCUUGAGACUUUAGUGGCGCAGUUAACGCGAUAAGUAGACCGCCUGGGGAGUACGGCCGCAAGGUUAAAACUCAA
rnacentral:rRNA from 1 species